rnacentral:rRNA from 1 species
AUGUCGGCUCUUGUGCCCCCGCCGCCGGCAUUCCCGCCCCCGCAGAUGAUGUCGUACGGCGCGGUCGAGAGGGCGGCGGCAACGAGCGGCUCGUACGGUCCGGUGAUCGCCAUGCUGGCCGUCCUCGCCGUGCUCGCGGCGGUGGCCGUGGCCGUGGGGCGGUUCUGCUUCGGGCGCCGCGCGCUCGGCCGGGCCGGUGGCCACGACCUGGAGGCCUGGGUGGAGCGGAAGUGCGGGCCGUGCGUGGGCGCCGGCAUGCACUCCUCCGCCCCCGCCGGCGACCUGGCGAAGCAGGAGGAGGGCGACGGCACGGCGGAGCUGCAGGAGCAGCCGCCUGAAGGAACGGAGCCAGGGGAGUGCAGUGGCAGUGCUGGUCGGUCCUGA